CCAGAGCUCUCUGCUCCUUUGAUUUCUGCAAAGGUUACCUGUGACAGAAGUGGUUGGAAUUCAGAAAACAGAGCAAGGUGGAAGAUAAAAAUUUAAUUUGGAAGCUGAGAAGGCAGGAAUCCCUGCGAACUCCUUGCUGUGAAACUCGUCACAGGGCAGUACAGCACAUGCAGGUGUACUUUGGUCUGCCAUCUUU